AUUAUAUUAUAUUUAAUAAAAAUAUUUAAUUGGCUUGUAAAAAAAAUAAUGUGAUGUAGUUGUUAGUUGUUACACUGAUGACCACCUCACUGACGCGAGGAAUUCUAUAUUAUCACACUUACACCACGUCAUUAAUAACAAGUCAAUUAUAUUUCUUUUUUUCAAACAAAAGUACAAUAAAAAUAUUUUUUUAUAAUCAUGAUAGGAUAUAUACCCCUAAAAAAAAAUAUUUGAUUGAUUUAUUACGUCAGGUUACCAAUAUAGCCGUUGCAUUAUAAAAUUUUUCUACUUAC
rnacentral:lncRNA from 1 species